rnacentral:rRNA from 1 species
AUUGAACGCUGGCGGCAUGCUUUACACAUGCAAGUCGAACGGUAACAGGGAGCUUGCUCCGCUGACGAGUGGCGAACGGGUGAGUAAUGCGUCGGAACGUGCCGAGUAGUGGGGGAUAACGCAUCGAAAGGUGUGCUAAUACCGCAUACGUACUGAGGUAGAAAGUGGGGGACCUUCGGGCCUCACGCUAUUCGAGCGGCCGACGUCUGAUUAGCUAGUUGGUGAGGUAAAGGCUCACCAAGGCGACGAUCAGUAGCGGGUCUGAGAGGAUGAUCUGCCACACUGGGACUGAGACACGGCCCAGACUCCUACGGGAGGCAGCAGUGGGGAAUUUUGGACAAUGGGCGCAAGCCUGAUCCAGCCAUGCCGCGUGUCUGAAGAAGGCCUUCGGGUUGUAAAGGACUUUUGUCCGGGAGCAAAUGCCUGGUGUUACUAGCACUGGGAGCUGAGAGUACCGGAAGAAUAAGCACCGGCUAACUACGUGCCAGCCGCCGCGGUAAUAC